rnacentral:sRNA from 1 species
CCGUCACGAGCUGCGGGCAGAUGAAGUGGAUGUGGGCGUCGAGGCCGCCGGGCGUGACGAUCCGGCCUUCGGCCGCGAUGACUUCGGUCCCCGCGCCGACCACCAUGCCGGCAGUGACGCCGGCCAUGAGGUCGGGAUUGCCCGCCUUGCCGAUGCCCGCGAUGCGGCCGUCGCGGAUGCCGAUGUCGGCCUUCACGAUGCCCCAGUGGUCCACGAUCACGGCGUUCGUGAUCACGGUGUCGAGCACGCCGUCGGCGCGCGUCGCGCGGGCCGACUGCCCCAUGCCGUCGCGG